rnacentral:rRNA from 1 species
CACUGGAAGAAUGAAUAACGAAUAGUUCGUAUAAAAUUCUAGAUAGAAAACAGAUAAUGACAACUCUCUAUCUAUUAGUCUUGACCAAAUUACGUGCCAGCAGUCGCGGUAAUACGCAGAAGACAAGUGUUAUUCAUCUUUAUUCGGUUUAAAGGGUACCUAGACGGUAAAUUAAGNCCUUAAUAGGGACUUAAUUUUCUAGGAGUUUUAUGGGAAUAAAGUCGAANCACCAGGAGKUAGAGRAUACCAAUAUUUUUGAUACCCCGGUAGACGGUUUAAAGGGCGUAGGCCAACUUUCUAUGUWAAAACUGACGUUUGARGGGACGAAGCCCUGGGUAGCGAUAAGGAUUUAGAUACCCCAGUAGUCCAGGGGAGACAAUGAUGAGUGCCAUACGCNUAGAUAUAUUAGCCUAWUAAAUGAWWAGUGUWWGCAUUCCACCUCMAGANUNAAGCGGCAACGCCCARAUUGAAAUCANUUAGACCGUUCCNUGWAACCAGUAGUGAAGUACGUUAUUUAAUUCGAUGAUCCGCGNAUAACCUUACCACGUUUUGAAUACUACAUGCAGGCCCGCAGGUUUAAUAAAUACUUGAACCYUAAUGACCGUAGUACAAGCGCUGCACGGCKGUCUCUAGUUGAUGUCGUGAGAYUUGGAUAAGUCCUCUAAUCGACGAAAGCCNUUGUUUUAUAUGUAUAUAUCAAGCAGUUCUCCGCUAUAUUGGAUAAGAUGACCGGGAUU